rnacentral:misc_RNA from 1 species
CUGAGUUGCAAACUCCCAACCCUUGUGAACAUACCUAUCGUUGCCUUCGGCGGGCGAGGCCUCAGCGGCCUCGCGCCCACCCCCCUACGGGGGACGGCAGCCGCCGGAGGACGUCCUAAACUCUAGUUCAUACAUGGACUCUCUGAGUAGCUAUAAAUAAGUCA